UACGGAGGGGGCGAGCGUUAUUCGGAAUUAUUGGGCGUAAAGGGCGCGUAGGCGGCCCGGUAAGUCAGAUGUGAAAGCCCCCGGCUCAACCGGGGAAGUGCAUCUGAAACUGGCGAGCUAGAGUACGAAAGAGGGUCGCGGAAUUCCCGGUGUAGAGGUGAAAUUCGUAGAUAUCGGGAGGAACACCGGUGGCGAAGGCGGCGACCUGGGUCGAUACUGACGCUGAGGUGCGAAAGCGUGGGGAGCAAACAGG
rnacentral:rRNA from 1 species